AGUGUAAGAGGUAAGGAGUCUGUUCUGCUGGGGAGUUCUGCUAUCUUCCACACAUGGUUUCCAUCUUCUAAUUUAAAGCUAACCUUUGAAUGAGAGAAACUUCUGCUGAUGUCAAAUGACCACAAGGAUAUUAACAACUGGACUUGGAGCCUGUCGGCCGCUGUUGGAUACACCUCCUUUACCAAGGCGGCUUUCUUCACUACUGCCACUGACCUUGCAAACAGCUCCGACAAAGGUCGGAAUGGAUUCAUUGAUCAGCUAGACCGAGCAUAUGACAGUCUGUGCCUUAAUUGAAUCCCAAAAGGGGGCAGACUGGGUUUUUAUUACAGAGGCCAGCCGAUAGCACUCAUUAAAAGCUCCACAGAC